GGAGCGCGCAUCAGUACACCUGGGAUUCAUCCCGCUUGAUUGAGAGAGGUGGGGGUCAUUACUUAUGCCUGUGUGUUGACUUGUUCUGUUUCGGUCUUCUCCCCAUUGGGUCUGUGGGGACGUGUCUGGGCUGGCAUGCUGCACGUUGUCGCCGCUGUCCUCUUGGUCGUCAGUUUGCUGUGGUUUUGAGCCGACCCUGCUUUCGGCGUUGGAUGUCCCCUUGGGGGUUGAUGUACACCUAGGCGGCUGGCGUUGGAUGUCUGGUGUGGGCCGCUGUGUGCGUGCAUGGAGUGCGUGCCUCUGUUGGGGUCUGACGGCGGCGUGUCCUGUAAAUCGCUGGACCGGGCUGCAGCGUUGUGCAUGCUGCUGUGGGGCUAUCGUGGUGCCACAGGAGACAGAAAGAACUGAGGAGCAAGGAGACCAGGGACAGGUGGAGAGUCUCAG